UGUUGGAUCAAAUGGCAUACCAUGUGAGAGUAGUCCUUCAGCAUCUGGUAUACGAAGAUCAAGCAGAACACUAUUAGAUUCCCAAGAUUUAAGACUGGCGAAACCAGCUCCCUCAAUACAUGGUGCUUAUCUGAAAAGUUGGGUGACUAUUUCUGAGUUUUCAUUUUAUGGUGGGCACUGUUCUAAUGGUUGCUUUGCAGGUCUUAGGUUGACCAGAACUUGAAAUCUGAUAUUUCUGCAAUUUGUUUUCUGUUCACAGACGUCUCUCAUAAAUGAGUACAUUCACUUCUUAAACACAGCCAACAGGUAAUAAUAGCCUCCAGUUUCAUCUGCUUGCAUAACCCUUCUUAGGAUCACGCUAACUUCUUCAUUCAUUUAAUCUUUUUUGAACACACGGAGACGAGCUAAUGGAGUUAAAGGGAAUUGGAGAUAAGAUGGCUGACUACAUUACUGAACUCAUGUGUAUUAUGCUGAUCUUUCUGUCAAUUAUGAAUUAUGCGUAUGUAGUGAAUUAUGUGUGUUAAUGCUGAUCUUUCUUACUUGCUAUCCUAUCAUUAUUAGUCAACUAAUAGUGGUAUAACCAUUCUUAUAAAUUGUGUGGUGUAUUUAUACGGAGUUGAUUGUCAUAGUAAACUUUGCAACUAUAUAGAUCUCUGUUGUCAUUUUUCUCUAGUGGAAGGAUCGGUUGAUCGGUGCUCUUAAGGAGAUAGAAGGUGGAGGUCGGGCAGGGAAAGCUAAAGAUCUUUUUUUUACAAGACUAACGGAAGCAUUCAGGACAAAGACAGCGCAGAGGAUACCAAGGUAUCAGUGGAAGAGAAUCCUCUGUGUGCUAGUUCUGAUGUUGCGGAAAGUAACUUUGGUAGGAAAAUAUCUGGAUCAGAAUACAGUAUUGAUCUAAAUGGAGAUGCUUUGUGAAUGGAAAACGUGCAAGAAUAAUACCUUCUGUGUCAGAAGAAUCUGCCGACGGAUUAAAUGGUACUGAUGGUGGCUCUCUACCUCCUCAGGUUGCUUCUAACUCAACCGGACCAAGUAAAUAGCAGAGCGCGGAGGAAUCCGAAUUAAAGGUGUUGUGUGUUUUUGUUUUGAUGCAGCUUCGGUAUGUGAUAUAUGCACAUCAUGAAGAUGGGGGUAAAGCUUUGAUAUGAUUUUUAAUGUGUUGCAUUAUGAGGUUCUUCCAACCUCUUUUCAGUCUGCUCCCUCUUACUCUCUAAGAUUUAAGUCGUAGUAGUCUUCUUAUUUCUUAGAUACAAUCAGUAUAAAAAAGGCUAGAAAGAGAAGAGAGAGAAACUUGAAUACCACGUCAUAUUGUUUAUUUGGAACCGAGGUAAGAUCUCUUGUUCUGAAUGUUUUAUAGAACUUGUUCUUUUCAUGUUGUGUAAUAAUCUUUCAAUGGUAAUUUUAUUUUUUUACUGUUGGUUUAGGAGUCUGGCUUUGAUGUUUGUGUAUCAUUGGGUUAUGUUCGGAUGAUUGAUGUAAUAUAUAUAUCUUUCAAUAUUAGGAAUAUUGGGCUU